rnacentral:tRNA from 1 species
GGGGAAGUAGCUCAGUUGGUUAGAGCAGUGAUAUCAAUUCAUGGUCGCAGGUUCAAGUCCUGUCUUCUCCA